CAAUAAGUGUUCAAUGGCACUUUAAAAUCCAUUACCCACCUUGUGUGCAAUGUAAGGAGGAGGAGAUUUCGGUCUCCUCUUUCAUUAUACAUACCAAUUCUUCUCUUGUUGUCUACUUUUUGAGUAUAAAAAAACUCGAAUA
rnacentral:misc_RNA from 1 species